rnacentral:lncRNA from 1 species
GGCAACCCACUCAGAUUCCGUUUCAUAGUGUGGAGGUUUUGUUCUUUCACUCUGCAGUAAAUCUUACUGCUGCUCAGUGUUUGGGUCUGUGCUACCUUUAUGAGCUGUAACACUCACGGUGGAAGCCUGCAGUCUCACUCCUGAGGCCAGGGAGACCACGAACCCACCAGGAGGAAUGAACAACUCCGGAGGCGCAGACUUAAGAGCUGUAACACUCACCGCGAAGGUCUGUAGUUUCACUUUUGAACCAGCGAGACCAUGAACCCGCCAGAAAGAAAAAACUGCCAACACAGCCGGACAUCAGAAGGAACAAACUGGGGACACGCUGCCUUUAAGAAACAUAACAGGCACCGUGAGGGUCCACGGCUUCAUUCUUGAAGUUAGUGAGACCAAGAACCCACCUAAUCCCGGGCACAAAACCACCUCAAUCUCCCAAAGACCGAAAGCCCUGGUGUCGCUGGGACCAGAGUUCUGGAGGCUGGAUGUCCAAGAUGAAGGCACUGCUAAACUCUGCAUCUGGAGAGGGUGGUUUCCUGAUUCACGGACAAUGUCUCCUCCCUGUGUCCUCACAUGGCCUCUACUCUGUGCGCACCUGGAGAGAGAGCGCCCCGUCCCUCCCUCUUCUGAUGAGGUCACCAGCCCUAUCAGAACUUUUUCUGAGAGCCUAUCGUGUCCAUGGAGAGCAGCUGAGGUAAAUCCUGGAGGUGACUGUCCCCCUAGGAGAUGAUGUGGAUGGGGAAAUAGUUCAUACGCAGCUCAGCGACCUUGAAGCGGCAUCCGAGGAGAUGUGGCCACGGGGCAGGCGACCGACACCAGCGAGUCCAGAGGGCCAGCGUGUGCACCACUGUGUGUCUCCAGAGACUUCAGGAAGCAGCCACCACGCCCGAGGAAUGCAGGAAGAUGGACACACGGCUGGGGAAGUACAAUGAAAGGCCAAGUAGGCAGCCUGUUCUCCUCAGAUCAGUCCCCCACGAACACUCAUUCCCGAGGACUCAUCCAAUACUAAUAAGAGAAUGCUCUUGUUUUUGAAGAAUUUUCUGAAAGCCAUCCUGACAAAUUAAGUAGAGUAUGCUGAAGAUAGUCAGACUUUGUUUUUAAGAAUUGAAUAUUCUGGAAGAGGCUCUUCAGUCCAAUCUUUAGUUCUCUCCACAGAGCAAACGAAGUGAAGUGCUGAAGGCCUGGAGCCCGAGCUGUUCCCACACGGACUCCAGGACAGUUAAGGCAGGGUUGCCUUAACUAAAUCUCUGACAACUGUUUCUUCUGUCUUUCUCCUAAAAAUGGAAUGCAGGCCAUCUAUUCUAGGGAAAUAAAGGAUUCUAGUUAUGUGAA